rnacentral:rRNA from 1 species
AUGGAGAUGAAGCUGUCGCCCGGCACCGGCGAGGUGCUAGGCUGCAAGAACCGCCCGCCGAGCAGGCUCCAGAAGAAGGCGCCCGCGUCGCUGCAGCUUGAGCAGGCCGGCCCUGGCGCGGCCCAUCCUUCCCCCGCCGCGUGGGGCGACGGGAGGACGCCGAUACCGCUCCUGUCGCCGCUCGUCGCGUCCUCGGCGCCGGCGUGGGAGGCGGACCAGGGCGGGAGCAGGAGGGACGCUGCGCAGGCCGAGACCAGGAGCGGCGGGGAUGCUGACGGCAUCUUGAGCCCGAUCCGGCGCGGCGCUCACGGUGUCAGCAACGGGGCAGACGAGACGGCCACGACGCCGGCGCUCGCGCCCAGCGGCGGGUGGCGGCACCCGGCUAUGCCGACGCCGACGCCCGCUUCCAACGGGGGCGGGGGGUGGCGGCACCCGGCGAUGCCGUCGCCUGUCCCGGAGCCGGCGUCCCUGGCGCCGCUCUUCAAGUCGCAGUGCGCGGUGGAGCUGCACAGCCCGCAGGCGCAGGCACAAUAG